CGAUGAGGGGAGCCGGAGGGAAACCGAGACUUAAGUGGGCGUCAAGUUGCAAGGUAAAGACCCGAAACCCGGUGAUCGAGCCAUGGGCAGGUUGAAGGUUGGGUAACACUAACUGGAGGACCGAACCGACUAAUGUUGAAAAAUUAGCGAAUGACUUGUGGCUGGGGUUGAAAGGACAAUCAAACCGGGAGAUAGCUGUUUCUCCCCUUAAGCUAUUUAGGUAUCGCCUCGUGAACUCAACUUCGGGGGUAGAGCAAUGUUUCGAUUGGGGGGUCAUCCCGACUUACCAACUCGAUGCAAACUACGAAUGACGAAGAAUGUUAUCAAGGGAGACACACAGCGGGUGCUAACGUCCAUCGUGAAGAGGGAAACAACCCAGACCGCCAGCUAAGGUCCAAAAGUCAUAGUU
rnacentral:rRNA from 1 species